rnacentral:lncRNA from 1 species
UGAUUCUCCUGCCUCAGCCCCCUGAGUAGCUGGGAUUACAGGCACCCAGCACCAUGCCUGGCUAGUUUUUGUACAGAUGGGGUUUCAUCACGUUAGCCAGGCUUGUCUCAAACUCCUGACCUCCAGUGAUCCGCCUGCCUCGGCCUCCCAAACUGCUGGGAUUACAGGUGUGAGCCACUACAUCUGACCAUAAAAGAGCUCUUUUAAUAAGUAAAAAUUAAAUAUUCUAAGUAUAAGCAAGUAUUCGAGUUUUGAACUAUACACUUUUUCUUUCUUGACGGUUCACAAAAUACUGCAUCCUUGGGUUGGCAGAGUCUUAGGUUCCAUAAAAUGUGGAAUUCUACUGUGUAACUUUGCCUCACCUAACCUAACUCUUUUGUGAUACAGUUUAAACCUUCUCAACAAGGCCACAUUGCAGCUAUCUACAUGAUAGUGUGUUCCGUACUCAAAGAUCAUUAAUCGGCCUUUUCUCAGAUUUAUUUUCCCCCACUUGGCUCUUCCUCUGACCCUACGGUAGGUAGUCCCAUUUCCUAAUGCUCUCAUCACGGUGGCUUCUUUCUGCAUUCUCUCCAACUAAUCGAUGCUCCUCUCCAAUUCCAGCAUGUCUAAAACAAAAUAUGGGAUAAGUGGCUGGGCUAAGUUUGACAUCUGGACCACAGCUGUGCACUGCUGGAAGAGGGUGGCUUCCACCCAUGACAAUGAACUGACACAGAGCAUCUGUUAGGGCCUGGGAAUCAGAAACCAGCCUCUCUGUUGUACCUAGGACCCCAGGGUCCUUUUUUUAUUUUUAUUUUUAUUUUCUGAGGCAGAGUCUCACUCUGUUGCCCAGGCUGGAGAGCAGCGGUGCAGUCUUGGCUCACUGCAACCCCGCAUCCCGGGUUCAAGCAAUUCUCCUGCCUCAGCCACCCGAGUAGCUGGGACUACAGGCACACACCACCACGCCCGGCUAAUUUCUUUUCGUAUUUUUUGUAGAGACGGGGUUUUGCCAUGUUGGCCAGGCUGGUCUUGAACUCCUGGCCUCAAGCAAUCCACCCCUCCUCAGCCUCCAAAAGUGCUGAGAUUACAGGCAUUGAGCCCCUGGCCCCCCAGGGUUCUUAAGUCAUGAAAACAGAGAAAGUGAUAAGACAUCCACAUGAUAAGCAGCCCCAAUUCUUCCUGGCAGUCAGAUUUCUUUCUCUUCUUGUAUGCCUUCUUUGGGCCUGAGCGCUGAGCUUCCUGCAUGAUCUUACAGGAAUUGACUAGACACUAAAAUAAUUGCUUUGCAGCAAGAUAGAGCCAAUCCAGAGGGAAUCAAGACAUGAGUCUGGUGGUUGACAUCACGCAAGUUUAUGGAGGGAGCUAUGUGUUUCACAGAGCGACAAUGGCUCAGCCCGCCAGCCUGGCCUCCUGAAGCCAGCGCCAGCCUGGAAGGAGAGACCGUCCCUUCUCCCUCUUCGGGCAUCAGAUGAUAAGAAAGUCCUGCUGCCAGGAUGAACUUCAGGAACUUGAGGAUCAGUAAGAUGGUGGCUCCUGCACAACGGGGUUGCUUUUAAACAGAGGUGAUCAUUAAACAUUCACCGAAUGAAGGAGUCAUGGAUAAGGAUGUGGAUCUUGGGAUCAGCGUGUGAAAACAAAUAACUUGUAGGUAUUUCAUUUAUUUGUUUUCAAUGGUAGGGGGGCAGGGAAAGGGGUUGUGGUGUUUGUUUGGUCUGUCUUCCCUAUGAGCAUGUCAGCUCCAGAGUAGGAAGACAAUGGUGAUAUCGUUCAGCCUGGUAUAUCCAGCACAGUUCCAUGUGGCUGGGGAAGCCUCACAAUCACGGCCGAAGGUGAAAGGCACGUCUUACGUGACAGCAGGCAAGAGAGAAUAAAAGCCAAGUGAAAGGGGAAACCCCUU